GAUGGCGUCAGUGAACCACUCUUGGGUCAGUGUGCAGUAAGUAAAAUACUCGGAUCUCCUCUUCAUCACGCCGGUCUCCAGGAACCCUCGUCCUCUUACAUCUCGGUUGCAGAAGAAAUCAACAACGCUUGACCAGAGGUAUGUGCCCACCAAUUGUAGACAUGAGCAGCUUGCCGCCAUGUGAUCCAGCACUGGGUUUAAAAGCUUAUGGCCAACAGAGAAGGGCACAGUAUACAAUUCCCCACUGAACCCCCGUCAGAAGCACACGCCGCACUAUCUGGGUGCUGCAUCCUAAACAUGUCAGACGCGGAGGAUGCCACAUAUGAUGAGUGAGUAAAUGCAACAUUUCUGUAGCGCAGAGAUUGAGAAUGACAAAGUGAUGCCGGCACAGAUGGAACCAAUAGUAAC